AAAUUUCUGCAACAGUCAGACGUUGGCUGGAUUUAAUUUCCCGCAAACACCCGUCGGCUGGUUUGCAUAUUCUGAGGAAAAAUGUGAGGAGGGAACGAGCAGUGCUGGCAAACCAAAGGCCUCCACCAGAUGCUCCAUCCAGAACGGAAAUUUGACUUUCAGUCGUCCAGAGAUCUUCACCUGCGGCCUAACGCUCAAUGACCUAAAACAAAAUCUGAGCAGCCCGG